UUUAACUGUUGCUUUAACGGAUAUAUAUUUAGGUGUAUUUGGAGAGAAUUUUGAGGAAACCAGAAAUUGAUGCAUUUUCUGAAGAGUUAAAGCCGCAUCAGAAAGCGCUUCUGCCGGACAACUUUACGGUGUUAGAUCGUGCAAUGAUUGAACAUAAUCUUCUCAGUGCCAGCAAACUUUACACAAAUAUAAGUUUUGAUGAGUUGGGCACUUUGCUGGGAAUUGAACCUCAUAAGGCUGAGAAGAUUGCAUCAAAAAUGAUCUAUGAGGACAGAAUGAGGGGAUCUAUUGAUCAGGUGGAAGCUGUCAUACAUUUUGAGGACGACACUGAAGAGCUGCAACAAUGGGAU